rnacentral:rRNA from 1 species
UACGAAGGGGGCUAGCGUUGUUCGGAAUCACUGGGCGUAAAGGGCGUGUAGGCGGUCCGCUAAGUCUGAUGUGAAAGCCCGGGGCUCACCCCCGGAAGGGCAUUGGAAACUGACGGACUCGAGUCCCGAAGAGGCGAGUAGAAUUCCGUGGUGUAGCGGUGAAAUGCGCAGAUAUCAGGAGGAACACCAAUUGCGAAGGCAGCUCGCUGGGACGUUACUGACGCUGAGACGCGAAAGCGUGGGGAGCAAACAGG